rnacentral:rRNA from 1 species
UACAGAGGUCUCAAGCGUUGUUCGGAUUCAUUGGGCGUAAAGGGUGCGUAGGUGGCGGGGUUAGUCAGGUGUGAAAUCUCGGGGCUCAACCCCCGAAACUGCACUUGAUACUGCCUUGCUAGAGUACUGGAGAGGAGAUUGGAAUUUACGGUGUAGCAGUGAAAUGCGUAGAUAUCGUAAGGAAGACCAGUGGCGAAAGGGCCGAAAUCUCUGGACAGUUACUGACACUGAGGCACGAAGGCCAGGGGAGCAAAACCGGG